UGUCAAGCAAGGGUAAAAACACUCACCUGCCUGGGAAGCUGAUUCCUUCACUGGACUGACAGUAAACCUGCACCAGCUGCAUGAUGGAGGAAAUCGUCCUGCAGAAUCCUGGGGUUGUACUGUUGCCCAAAGACAGCUUUGGCAAGAGGGCAGCUGCCAAGUUGGGCUUCAAGCUGAAGAUCAAUAACGUUCACUGACAGGCUGAACCGGCAAACUUGAUGACAGUGGACUUCCUUAAGAAAUCAAGAGGCAACAGAAGGAAGAUUGUUCUGGAGUGGGUAUCGCAAAUGGCCUCGAAACUGUAAAAUGGCCACCUGUGUGUAACUGCAGGCUCCUCCUCGCCGCUCAGUGGUUGCUGCAACCGCGUCGUGGGUGAGUUCGCAGUAAAGCCAAAGAGGAUUUGGGUACUAGUGCUGUUGGCUUGGAGGGGAGCAAGUUUUUGUCUCCUGAGACCUGUACUCUCGAUUAAACAGUGCGAAUCAGGAACUUUUCAGCUGACAGUUGCUUUGCUCUGACACUGUCUUUUUUCCACUAGGACCUGACCUACAGCUGGCUGGAGGAAACAGUGGUUCCCUCCUGUCUUCUGUUCCAGAAUAAAAUAAG